GCUGCCCGACCGGUCUGACCGGUCCCCUGGACCGGUCUGACCGCAGCAGCCGGGUAUAAAUACCCCAACCAGCCUGUGGCUGGGUGAGCCUCUUGAGCCUUUUGUUUUCUCUUCGUUUUUCCUUCUCCCUGCCCCUGCUCUAAGUUAGGGCCAAGGUCUCCAACGCAAAGGGAGGUUAGAUUAUAGCUAAUCUCUUCGAUUUAGAGGGCGGAUGAUGGUGUGGUCAGCUCUAGCCUUUGUAUAGGUGAAUUCCUCCGUGAAUUAUGAAUGAAAUUAUGUUGAGAUUCACCCAUGUGUGCUGAGAUUUUCGUCCUCCCCUUCCCUUUGUGUUUUUGGACUUGAUUUUUCCUACUUUGAGAUGUUUUGUGUUUGGAGGAGUCAAGUUUUUCGAUUCGUGGUUUGAUGGACUCGUUGUGACUAUUCUAAUCUGUCUAGCCUAGUGCCAAACCUGCAGGAAUCGCGAGUUCUCACGGAUUGAGAUUUUUGGGUUCUUGAGAAAACUCCAAUUCUCUUUGAUCUUCACUCAAUUUCUCACGAUCUGUUAAUCUUUUGGGAAAGAUCUUUUGGGGAUAUGUUCACGGGGUAGUUACGAAGCUUUCUUCCAAAUUUCGUUGGAUUUGGACUUCGUUUGCUCGAGAUUUGAUAUUUGGAGCUUUGUUGGCGGGCUGACUGGGAGAGACCAGUCUGACCGGUCUGUGCAACCGGUCUGACCGGUCUGCAGUUUGAAAAUCCCAGCCCGACCGGUCAGACCGGUACAGUACACCGGUCAGACCGGUCUGUGGGUGUUGUGCUGAAAUUUGUGAAGUUUCACUCGCUUUGCUUCCGCGCUGCAAUCUGGGUCUUCUGCUUCGAGAUAGCUGGUCCAUAGCUAUUCUCGCUGACCUGGGUUGGAGGGUUUGUGGUGAUUUUGGAACAUAGGCCGACUAUUCGAAUUUCGGAGAAAUUUUGAUCGGCUCUCAUUCACCCCCCUCUGGUCGCCGUUUCGGUCCCACAAUAUGGGUGGGACCAGUCAUCAGAGAUAGGUAUUGGAGUGUCUUUGCCCAGAUUUAGAUCAAUACCAACUCCCUUGACGGCUCGGGCAUCAUUGUUGUUUCAUGAUUUGCUCGAAUUCUCAUCAUACAAGGAGCGUCUGCUUGGCCUAUCCUUCGGUUUUCUUUCGACCAUGCACCAUAACUUAUCUUAUAAGCUGGCUUGGCGUACCUUAACUGAUCCUUCACAAAUGGCAUCAAAAUCCAUAAGAAAGCAGUUAGGACAUAACCUUCUUUCUGCAAUGAAGUAUACAUAUACAUUUGAUCAAAGGGAUUCUAAUAUCAGGCCAACCAAAGGAUAUGCAUUUGUCUCGACAUCGCAAGUUGGUGGUCUAUGGGGCAGCAGAGGAUUGAGAUUCUUCCGCCAGGUUCUUCCCCAACCAGCUUCUUCUGUUUAGUUUUCUGUGCAAAGUUUGUCUAAUCUUUUCUUAUUGCAUCCUUGCUUUUAGUUUGAUGAAUGUAAAGUUGGUCCAGUUUGUUCUAUACUUCUGCUAGUGAGCUACCUGAGGAAUGAAUUUUGCACUUGCAUACCAGUAUUACUGUCAGACUGCAUUCUUAGAUCAAAUUAAGUUUUUUUAUACAGACUCUUCUCACAGUGGAUUAGUACUUAGUCUGCAAAAGCAUAUGGAAAGUGAUUCGCAGAAGAGCCAGAGGUACAAAAUUUAAUGGGUUUUAGUCGGUACUGACAAUGCAGAAUUUUAAUUAGCUAUAAUACCCAAUACUCCUUUUAUUCUGAAAUCUGAAGUGAAACUUUUGUUUGACGGCAGAUAUCCAUAAAUUUAUGGUCCCCAUGUCCAACAGAGCAUUUCCUUAGCAGUUAGUACUGAUCCUAGUAUGCUUCUCGUUUAGUUUUGGUUUCUCAACAACUGAUUCAAUUUUCAGAAGUGCCCACGAACUGGUUUAAGUGUUAUUGUAAUAAGUUAGAUCUUGUACGGUUGUUUUUAUUUCACUGAAUCUAUUUUUCUAUUUUUCAAUGAAUCAUGCAUGCUACUAUGAUGUGGUUAAAGGUUUCUCUAUGGAAAAGGUACAUUCCAAUUUCAAUUGUCUCUGUUCUCCACCUGUUGUGUCUUUUCGCUUUGGAGUUACUAAUCUUGAUGUAAGGCGUUGUGGCCGUUUCUUCUUUUGUGCUGUGGACCCUAUGAAUCCCAGGGCUGUGAACUCUGUCGACUAGCUAUCUAGCUUGAAUCAGGUUAGGUAGUUAGUCCCCUUUUGGCUUAUCGUACCCUUCCCUUGCUGUUUCUGUAACGCAAAAAUGGUGGAAUUUCCGUUCUUGUAAUGGAAAUGGGGUAAAGCUUCGUAUCGAAAAAAAAUUGUAUAUAUGCAAUAAAACAAAGGUUAAAGUUUCCUAACAAGAUCUAGGGAUCUAAACCAUGAAUGGUUAUUGGCAGUUCAGAUGAUGUGUGUGCUAGUAUCUAAUUAUUGAUCAUGUUGGGUCGUGCACUGUUAAACAUUGUCACCUGGAAUCCUUUUUUCUCUCUCUUUACCCAGGAGUUCGAUAUUCAUGGAGCUGUUCCAUUCAGCUUUUACAAUGCUGCCCUAAAUGCUGGCAUAUCAGCAGGGGUGGUUUUACCAUUGGGAAGGGGGUUUUGGGGAUCACCUUCAUCUGUACCUGAUAGAUUUUUUCCUUGGAGGGCAUUCUUCUCUAGUAUGCAGCCUUGGUGGUUUAACUUCUCUAUUGGGUUUCAAAACAAGGGGAGUUGGCCCUACAGAAGUACGGAGCUUUGUACCAGGUGAAUCUGUUAUGGAUGAUUCUGCAGACUCUCCAGGGCAGGAUUAUUUGGGAGGUGAUUUCGCGGUCUCUGCAUUUGCUGAUCUAUCAUUUGACUUGCCCUUAAAGUUAUUCCGGGAUGCUGGCAUACAUGGCCAUGCAUUCCUAACCGCUGGAAAUCUCGCCAAGUUGUCCGAGAGUGAGUUCAGGAAUUUCUCAUUUUCUGAGUUUGGGCGCACAUUUAGGAGCUCAGCUGGCGUUGGUAUCAUCAUACCCACUAAGCUUUUCCGGGUUGAGGUAAACUACUGUUGUAUUUUGAAACAAUUUGAGCAUGAUCGUGGGAAAACUGGGAUUCAGUUCAGCUUCUCGUCGCCAAUUUAGUAGAAAUGUGUUUCUACAGCUGCUUAUCCCUGCCCGAAGAAUGUCCUGCAGUCCAGCAAAUCCAUCAUAUCAGAUGAUUUGGUCUCUUGUAUCACGCUCGUUCUUGAGCAUUAGAACCAGAAGAGGUCUCUUAUCAGUCUCGUUCUUGAGCAUUAUUAGAACCAGAAAGAGGUACCAUGAUAACGGGUAUUGUCUCAUGCUCAAUAGAACAAUACGGAUAUGUAAUAUGUUGGUGUUCUUUUGAAUCUGUCAUAUGAUUCAUUUCUUGA